UACGUAGGUGGCAAGCGUUGUCCGGAUUUAUUGGGUUUAAAGGGUGCGUAGGCGGCUUUGUAAGUCAGUGGUGAAAUAUGGCAGCUUAACUGUCAGGGUGCCAUUGAUACUGCGGAGCUUGAGUACAGAUGAGGUAGGCGGAAUUGACGGUGUAGCGGUGAAAUGCUUAGAUAUCGUCAAGAACACCUAUGGCGAAGGCAGCUUACUAGGCUGUAACUGACGCUGAGGCACGAAAGUGCGGGGAUCAAACAGG
rnacentral:rRNA from 1 species